AUUUUGCUCGCCCGAUCUGCGUGCCCCUUAUUUUUCUAUUUUUUUCAGAGCGGUGGUUGUUUUGUUUUGUCUCUUCGUCUUUCUUCUACCUCAGGCGGAAGAUGUACGGAGUGAAUGAUGGGGGCGGAGGAAGAGCUGAGCAUCGUCGGCGUACCGGGUACAAAAGGGCCAGAUGCUAAACUGCAGUUCAACCUGAGACAUUUUUGAGAGGGCACUGGGACCUGCUGCUGUUUUUAUUUUUGAGCUAGUUAGGGUCAUUGCCUCGCACCACCAUUUUCUAUUGCUCUUUCAGUGUUUGUAGCAUUUUGUUUCCCUUAUUAAUGAUUAUAUUUUUUUAGCAGCAACACAUCCCUCCCUAUGGCUGGUAAGAGUUCUGUGAUGAGCAAGUAACUUCCAUAUGGUUACGCUGUUCUAACUAGAAGUUCUGUGACAUCAAGCAACACUUCUUUUCCAAAGAUGCAAAUGAACUGAAGAAUAUCUUGUGGAGCUGAAAAUUUCAAGAUCCUUACAUUCUUUCUUACUGUAUGUUUAGGCGUUAUUAGUAUGUCUUUUUGUUAUGCAUACGCUGUGACGGGACAUGGCUACUUUGUGAACAAGAGAACAAAUCUUUUUUGCUUUUGUGAGCUGCUACGAGACCUGUGACUGCGCACGGAUAUUUUUGGGUAACAAGAGAUUUUUUUUUUUU